rnacentral:rRNA from 1 species
UACGUAGGGGGCGAGCGUUGUCCGGAUUCAUUGGGCGUAAAGAGCUCGUAGGCGGCUUGGCAAGUCGGAUGUGAAAACUCCAGGCUCAACCUGGAGCCGCCAUUCGAUACUGCUAUGGCUAGAGUCCGGUAGGGGAGUGUGGAAUUCCCGGUGUAGCGGUGAAAUGCGCAGAUAUCGGGAGGAACACCGAUGGCGAAGGCAGCACUCUGGGCCGGUACUGACGCUGAGUGAGCGAAAGCCAGGGGAGCAAACGGG